GGAGAGGUGGCCGAGUGGCUUAAGGCGGCGGUUUGCUAAACCGCUGUAUCGGUUAAUUCCGGUACCUGGGGUUCAAAUCCCCACCUCUCCG
rnacentral:tRNA from 1 species